UAGUAUUCCAUUGUGUAUAUGUACCACAUCUUCUUAAUCCAUUCAUCUAUUGAUGGACAUUUAGGUUGUUUCCAUGUCUUGGCUGUUGCGAGUAGUGCUGCAGUGAACAUAGGGGCGCAUGUGUCCUUUUCAGUGGAAGUUUUGUCCAGAUAUAUGCCCAGGAGUGGGAUUGCUGUCAUCCCAACCUACCCUAGCAUCUGGGUUAAACAUAGUCUAUUCUCUAGAGCAGUGGUUCUUCACUUUGGUUGCACAUUAGAAUCACUUGGAGAGCUGUAAAAAAAAAAAUCCAGAUAUCAUCUAUACAAUAGAAUAUUAUUCGGCUGUAAGAAAGAGGGAACCUGCCAUUUGCAACAAUGUGGGUGGAACUUGUGGGUAUUGUGCUAAGUGAAAUAACUCAGAGAAAGACAAAUACUGCAUGAUCUCACUUAUAUGUGCAAUCUGUAAAAUUCAGAUUCAUAGAAACAGAGUAGAACGGUUGUUCCCAGGGGCUGGAGUAUGGGGGAAACGGGGAGAGGCCUGUCAAAGGCUAUGAAUUUUCCAUUGAGUAGGUCCUGAGGGUCUAAUGUACAGCAUGGCGACUGAAGUUAACGACUUGUACUGUGAACUUGAAAUUUGCCAGGAGGGUAGAUCUUAAAUAGUCUCACCAUAAAAUUACAACUUAAAACAAUUAUGAGGUGAUGGAUGUGUUUACUAACCUUAAUGUGAUAAUCAUUUCAAAAUACAGACAUAUAUUGUGAUAUCAACUUAUCGCCUUGUACAUUUUAAACUUAUGCAACGUUAUUGCCAAUUCUAUCUCAGUAAAGCUGGAAAAAAAUUCAGACUCCCAGGGGAGGGUGUGGUGUGGACAGGGGGUUUGGGGUUAGUAGAUGCAAACAAUUACAUUUAGAAUAGAUAAGCUAUGAGGUCCUGCUGUACAGCACAGGAAACUCUAUCUAAUCACUUGUGAUAGAACAUGAUAGAAGAUAACAUGACAGAACACUGUAAAUCAACUAUAAAUUUUAAAAAACCCUGUAAAUCAAAAAAAUUAAAAAAUAAAAUUCCCCAGGUGAGCCCACUGUACAGCCAGGUAUGAGAACAAGGGUUCUGGGGCAGUGCUUCUGGGACUUCAAUGCGCAUGCGAAACUUGUUUAGGUCUGCGCUAGGGUCCAGACACGAGGGAGUCAAGUGGUUUAGGGUGGUGAUGGUGGUGGUGGGAAGGAUGUUCUUUCCAACUCAUCCAGCCAGACUUCCAGAAAUACUCCAUGGACAGCUACGUGUGGUGAAAGGUGGACGCAGACGGACUCCAUGAUGGUACCAGCUCUGACGCAGGGUAUAGGAUGACUAACUAGCCUCAUUUUCCUGGGUCUCAGGGGUUUCCCAGGACAUGCGGCUUUCAGUGCUUAAGCAGGAAAGUCGUGGGUAAAUUGGGAUGCUUUGUUACUCUACCCAUCCCUGCCCCCCUGGCCAGUGAAGCUCUGGCCACAGUUAUGAAGCUUUUCCAGCCAAAUAGGCACCCUCAGAGGCUUCAGAAGAUGCUCUUGGGGAAAGGGAAAGGAAUUGCUGGGCACAUCAUCCUCCUUGAGGCAUCAAUAGCUACAGGGCUCAGGGCAGAAAAAUGAGCGCUCUAGCUUUGCCGGGCUCACCCAUCCAGAAGGGGAGAGGCCUGGAGAUAGAAUAGCCUUUGGUUUAACACAGAGAAACUGGAAGCCUCUUGAUAAAGUAGGGGAUUCAAACUAGAGUUAUCCAAGGACACCAUUCAAAAUGCAAACUUGGCCCCUCCCCUAAGAAAUUGUAAUUCAAAAGGUCAAAGGCCCUUUAACUGGUAUCCCAGGUGUUUCUAGGUUACACUCUGAGAAACACGGAUCCAAAGGGCUUGCCUGCCAGUAGUUUGGUCUGUUAAAGGAAGCUUUCCUAGAGUUCCCGUUUUGUGGCUCAGCUGGUUGCAAACCAGACUAGCAUCCAUGAGGACACAGGUUUGAUCCCUGGCCUCCCUCAGUGGGUUAAGGAUCCAGUGUUGCAUUGAGUGGAGUAGGUUGCAGGCAUGGCUUGGAUCUGGCAUUGCUGUGGCUGUGGUGUAGGCCGGCAGGUGUAGCUCCAAUUCUACCCCUAGCCUGGGAACUUCCAUAUGCCACGAGUAUGGCC
rnacentral:lncRNA from 1 species